GACAUUUCCAGCAUCCCGAUCAAUAAAAAUUAUCCCGACGACUAUUUUUGAUGAACUUAUAACUCCAACUAUGGAGUCCUCGAGCAUGUGGUGGCCUCGAGACAUUAUGCCCGGCCACAUCCCGCCUGGCUGCUUCGCAUAUUGCAAUAUUUGUCCUCGAGCAUCAGCAGUCCUCGGGCAUAUGCUCCCCUCACAACCUACGAUGGUUGACCCUUUAGAAUUCCUAUGCAAUUAGGACUCUUGACUCUCGCAAGGAUUCUAUCCCACAUAUAAUUAUGGAAUUUGACCAACUCCUUGACUAUUCAGGACUCCAACAGAUAAGGACAUCCAGCUAGUUGAGUCCCACUAGGAGAAUGUCGCUUACUACUAUAAAUACAGAACCUUAAGCCAUUAUUCAGGUACGUUUUACAUAAUUUUCAGUUCAUAGCCUUACGCACAAAUUCUCUCUCUGACUUAAAUAUCGGAGGGGUGACGAGGACACACCUCGACGUCUUUGUUUCAGGUAUCGGAAGAUCACGUUCGUGCUCGUCAUCAGUCGUCCAACUCGGAAUUACUUAGGUACGAUUUUUGGUAGCAUCAUCUUGAAUGGUGAUCUUCAAUUUCACUCAGAUUCGAGAAUGCCCAUGUUUUUUUUUUUGGCAAGAAAGUGUAAUGAAAAUUCCUGCAACUUACUUUAUACAUUGCCCGAGUUAAUAGUGAUCC
rnacentral:lncRNA from 1 species